rnacentral:rRNA from 1 species
AUACGUAGGGGGCGAGCGUUGUCCGGAAUGAUUGGGCGUAAAGGGCGCGUAGGCGGCCCGGUAAGUCUGGAGUGAAAGUCCUGUUUUUAAGAUGGGAAUUGCUUUGGAUACUGUCGGGCUUGAGUGCAGGAGAGGUAAGUGGAAUUCCCAGUGUAGCGGUGAAAUGCGUAGAGAUUGGGAGGAACACCAGUGGCGAAGGCGACUUACUGGACUGUAACCGACGCUGAGGCGCGAAAGUGUGGGGAGCAAACAGGAUUAGAUACCCUGGUAGUCCACACUGUAAACGAUGAAUGCUAGGUGUAGGGGGUAUCGACCCCUUCUGUGCCGCAGUCAACACAAUAAGCAUUCCGCCUGGGGAGUACGGCCGCAAGGUUGAAACUCAAAUGAAUUGACGGGU